AAUAUUUUUUAUCAUGUUUUACCAGAUUUUCAU
rnacentral:sRNA from 1 species